UAACACAUGCAAGUCGAACGGGGACCUUCGGGUCUUACGUGGCGCACGGGUGAGUAACGCGUGGGAAUCUACCCCAAAGUCGGGGAUAACCGCUGGAAACGGCGGCUAAUACCGGAUACGCCCUGAGGGGCAAAGCUUUUGCGCUUUGGGAGGAGCCCGCGUCCGAUUAGCUAGUUGGUGGGGUAAAGGCCUACCAAGGCUGCGAUCGGUAGCUGGUUUGAGAGGAUGAUCAGCCACACUGGGACUGAGACACGGCCCAGACUCCUACGGGAGGCAGCAGUGGGGAAUCUUGGACAAUGGGGGCAACCCUGAUCCAGCCAUGCCGC
rnacentral:rRNA from 1 species